GAGCACCGCCCACGCCUCUCCUACCACCCUUGCCCGAGGCGUCCCCUGCUCUCGGUCCCGGGAUCCCUAAGGAGCCCUACGUACUCUACGCCUCCCCUCCCCCUAAAGCGGGCCGCACCGCGCCUGCGCCCUCUCUUCUCCCCCCUCACCCAAGUCCCGUCCACUACGCCGUCUGCCCCGCUCCACUCCCUGUUGACCAAUCCCAGGCGCUGAUAUGGGCGCGUCACUUUGGUGCCCUUGCAGCCCAACCCCCGGAUGUGUACUGCUGAAGCUGUUUCGCUGCGUGGUCCAGAGGAACGUUGGAUUCGGGGGAGGUCCCCCGUGAUCACGCCGGCAAUGGCGGUGGAUAAGGGAGGGGGGGGCUAUCGGGUUGUUCUUCCAGGUGCCCGGGGCCGGAAGUGCCGCAAGUGACGGCGGACGUCCCGCUCCGCACAACCCUGCCGUGGUUUCCAUGGUGACGGUAAACAAACAUUGACUGCCAGUGCUUCAGUCACCCAGAGACUCCGAGGGCCACUGGAGACCUCGGGGUGAGGCGGGCGCGCGGGGACUCGAAGACUCAGAGCCCCAGGGUCUUGCUAAGUUGCCCUGGUUGGUCUUGAACUUGUGAUCUUCGUGCUUCAGCCUUUCAGCAUGCUUGAAUCACAGAAUGGCUUCAUCAUCAUCUCAAAAGGAAGUAGAACCCAAAAAAA